rnacentral:rRNA from 1 species
GUGCCAGCCGCCGCGGUAAUACGGAAGGUGCAAGCGUUACUCGGAAUUACUGGGCGUAAAGCGUCCGCAGGCUUUCUUCCAAGUCUGGUGUAAAAGCACGGAGCUCAACUCCGUGUACGUACCGGAAACUAGAAGGAUAGAGUCAUACAGAGGCAUCUGGAAUUCCAUGUGUAGGGGUAAAAUCCGUUGAUCCAUGGAGGAACGCCAAAAGCGAAGGCAGGAUGCUGGGUAUGUACUGACGCUCAGGGACGAAAGCGUGGGGAGCGAACGGGAUUAGAUACCCCGGUAGUCCACGCCCUAAACUAUGCGUGCUCGGUGUUGGGAGUUCAAUCUUUCCCAGUGCCCAAGCUAACGCGGUAAGCACGCCGCCUGGGGAGUACGAUCGCAAGAUUAAAACUCAAAGGAAUAGACGGGGACCCACACAAGCGGUGGAGCAUGGGGUUUAAUUCGUUGAUAAGCGUAGCACCUCACCUAGACUUGACAUCCUGAGAACUUUCUCGAAAGAGAAAAGUGCCGCAAGGAACUCAGUGACAGGUGGUGCACGGUCGUCGUCAGCUCGUGCCUUGAGGUGUACUGUUAAGUCAGCAAACGAGCGCAACCUUCGUCCCAUGUUGUUAUCUCAUGGGAGACUGCCGCCUCCAAGGCGGAGGAAGGUGGGGAUGACGUCAGAUCUGCGUGUCCCUUAUGUCUAGGGCAACACCCGUGCUACAAUGGCCGGUACAAAGGGCAGCGAACCCGUAAGGGGGAGCAAAUCCCACAAAGCUGGUCUCAGUUCGGAUUGAAGUCUGCAACUCGACUUUAUGAAGUUGGAAUCGCUAGUAAUCGCGUAUCAGAAUGACGCGGUGAAUACGUUCCCGGGCCUUGUACACACCGCCCGUCACACCAUGGGAGUGGGUUGCUCCAGAAGUGGAUAGUCUAACCUUCGGGAGGGCGCUUACCACUUUGUGAUUCAUGACUGGGGUGAAGUCGUAACAA